AUGCUUGAGAUUAUGAGGCAUAUGGGAUUCAAUUACAAGUGGCUUUCAUGGAUCAGUUCUAUCUUUUCUUCUGGUAAAUCCUCUGUGCUUCUAAAUGGUGUUCCAGGCAGACAAUUCCACUGCAAAAGUGGUGUUCGGCAAGGAGACCCAUUGUCCCCACUCCUUUUUGUUAUUGCAGCUGAUCUCCUUCAAGAUGCAAUUAAUGACGCCUUCCGACAAGGGAAGAUCCGCCUGCCCUUUGAAAGACAACGACAGCUUGAUUACCCUAUUAUUCAAUAUGCGGAUGACACAAUAAUUAUCAUGCCAGCAUGUCCAGCUCAAGCACAUACUAUGAAAGGUCCUUAA
rnacentral:rRNA from 1 species